GACGAACGCUGGCGGCAUGCCUAAUACAUGCAAGUCGAGCGAACAGAUGAAGUGCUUGCACUUCUGACGUUAGCGGCGAACGGGUGAGUAACACGUAAGGAAUCUACCUAUAAGCGGGGGAUAACAUUCGGAAACGGGUGCUAAUACCGCAUAAUAUCUUCUUCCGCAUGGAAGAAGAUUGAAAGACGGCUCUGCUGUCACUUAUAGAUGACCUUGCGGUGCAUUAGUUAGUUGGUGGGGUAACGGCCUACCAAGAAGAUGAUGCAUAGCCGACCUGAGAGGGUGUUCGGCCACAUUGGGACGGAGACACGGACCAAACUCCUACGGGAGGCAGCAGUAGGGAAUCUUCCACAAUGGGCGAGAGCCUGACGGAGCAAUGCCGCGUGAGUAAAGAAGGCCUUCGGGUCGUAAAACUCUGUUAUAAGAGAAGAACAAAUUGUAGAGUAACUGCUACAGUCUUGACGGUAUCUUAUCAGAAAGCCACGGCUAUCUACGUGCCAGCCGCCGCCGUAA
rnacentral:rRNA from 1 species